UGCGGAAUUUUAGAUAAUGGAGGGAACUCUGAUCUAGCGACGCCGCGUGCAGGAAGAAGGUCUUCGGAUUGUAAACUGCUGUGGUAAGGGAAAAAUGCUAUGUAGAGUGGAAAGCUACAUAGAGGGAUGGUACCUUACUAGAAAGCCCCGGCUAACUACGUGCCAGCAGCCGCGGUAAUACGUAGGGGGCGAGCGUUACCCGGAAUCAAUGGGCGUAAAGGGUGCGUAGGUGGCCUAACAUGUCAACUGUGAAAACCCGGAGCUCAACUCCGGACUUGCAGUUGAAACUGGUAGGCUUGAGGACGGUAGAGGAAGACGGAACUGCCAGUGUAGGGGUAAAAUCCUUAGAUAUUGGCAGGAACGCCGGUGACGAAGGUGGUUUUCCGGGCCGGUUCUGACACUGAUGCUCGAAAGCCAGGGGAGCGAACGG
rnacentral:rRNA from 1 species